AACGAACGCUGGCGGCAUGCCUAACACAUGCAAGUCGAACGAGACCUUCGGGUCUAGUGGCCUACGGGUGCGUAACGCGUGGGAACCUGCCCUUAGGUUCGGAAUAACUCUCCGAAUGGGGUGCCAUUACCGGACAAUAUCUACGGACCAAGGAUUUAUCGCAUUUGAAUGUUCACGCGUUGAAUAAGCUAGUGCUUACGGUAAAAGACUACUACGGCGACGAUCCAUAGCUGGUUUGAGAGAAUGAUCAGCCACACUGGGACUGAGACCCGGCCCAGACUCCUACGGGAGGCAGCAGUGGGGAAUAUUGGACAAUGGGCGAAAUCCUGAUCCAGCAAUGCCGCGUGAGUGAUGAAGGCCUUAGGGUUGUAAAGCUCUUUUACCCGGGAUGAUAAUGACAGUACCGGGAGAAUAAGCUCCGGCUAACUCCGUG
rnacentral:rRNA from 1 species